rnacentral:rRNA from 1 species
GUAGGUGGCAAGCGUUGUCCGGAAUUAUUGGGCGUAAAGCGCGCGCAGGCGGUUCUUUAAGCCUGAUGUGAAAGCCCACGGCUCAACCGUGGAGGGUCAUUGGAAACUGGAGAACUUGAGUACAGAAGAGGAAAGCGGAAUUCCACGUGUAGCGGUGAAAUGCGUAGAGAUGUGGAGGAACACCAGUGGCGAAGGCGGCUUUCUGGUCUGUAACUGACGCUGAGGCGCGAAAGCGUGGGGAGCAAACAGGGAUUAGAUACCCUGGUAGUCCACGCCGUAAACGAUGAGUGCUAAGUGUUAGGGGGUUUCCCGCCCCUUAGUGCUGCAGCUAACGCAUUAAGCACUCCGCCUGGGGAGUACGGCCGCAAGGCUG